rnacentral:rRNA from 1 species
GACGAACGCUGGCGGCGUGCCUAAUACAUGCAAGUUGAGCGCUGAAGGUUGGUACUUGUACCAACUGGAUGAGCAGCGAACGGGUGAGUAACGCGUGGGGAAUCUGCCUUUGAGCGGGGGACAACAUUUGGAAACGAAUGCUAAUACCGCAUAAAAACUUUAAACACAAGUUUUAAGUUUGAAAGAUGCAAUUGCAUCACUCAAAGAUGAUCCCGCGUUAUAUUAGCUAGUUGGUGAGGUAAAGGCUCACCAAGGCGAUGAUACAUAGCCGACCUGAGAGGGUGGUCGGCCACAUUGGGACUGAGACACGGCCCAAACUCCUACGGGAGGCAGCAGUAGGGAAUCUUCGGCAAUGGACGAAAGUCUGACCGAGCAACGCCGCGUGAGUGAAGAAGGUUUUCGGAUCGUAAAACUCUGUUGGUAGAGAAGAACGUUGGUGAGAGUGGAAAGCUCAUCAAGUGACGGUAACUACCCAGAAAGGGACGGCUAACUACGUG